UGAAAAUGACUUAGAGAAAAUAACGCCACAGAUACAGCUAAAACGUGAAUGAAGCUGGAGGCAGCAGAGGACCACACACCAUGAAAUGUAAACAGAGGAGAAAAAAGCUCCAUGCCAGACAGGAAGAGAAGAACCAGAAGAGCAGUCUUUACAAAUAGAGAUACCAACAACUGGAUACUUUAAUACGUCUUCCACUGGACCUCACUCCUUAUCCCCAUACCUCCCUUUCCCAAAAACCUACCUACCUGAGCAUGGGUGGGAGUAGGAAGGACAAUUUUUCAACUCUCAGAUAAUUCCAAUGUGUUAAAGGAAAUGAACGUAAAACCUGACACCAAGAACAUAACUGGUACACUUCAGAACAAGUGGCCUCAGGAUACCUGUCUUCCACGACCUCUCAUACUAAAAUUCUGCUCCACAGAAAACAGCCACCCUCACUCAUUCGGAGUCUUCCAAUCUUUAAACAUUAUGCUCCCCCCAUUCCCCCAAAGGAAAAUAUCCAUCUUGGUUUCAAAAGGAUUCUUCAUUACCUCUGUA